CUGCCUCAUGCACCGCGACAGCUGGCAUACAAAUGGAUGAACUGCGUCGAUUUGAGUCAAUAGGGCCGUAAAUCAAAGGCUCAUGGCAGCAGGAAAUAGCCCAGACUGGGGCAGCUCUGAAAAAGUCCAGGUCGGGGCAUAUUGGAGCCGUCUGAAGCGAAUGGAAAUGGGAAUUGCAUAAAAAGGGCACAGCGGGACAGCCAGGUGACACUCAGUUGAAUUGCAAGCAGCAGCUCCGCCAUACCACAAGAGGGCAGCAUGACCAAACUACAACCGGUUACACUUGGUGGUGCGACCAUUUUGGAUCAUCAAAUCAGCGGUUCGCCGAUGCUUCACCAAUCUUCUCUCCCGGCCGUCUUCCUCAUCAGUAUCGUUCGUUGCGGCUCCGUGUUCGUGCAUAAGUAGAGCGCGCAAGUGAGAUCGCAGGACAAACUAUUGAAUCUUAAAGGAACCGUAAAGAGUUUAAUUAACUUCAACUUUGACCUUUUUUUCUCCAGAGUACUUUCGUUCGUCGUUGCUGCAUAUUAAACAAGAGAGACUUUGUGAUAAGCGCACCAGGACGCUUCAGUGAC
ensembl:lncRNA